GCCUGCAUAGCUCAGUUGGUAGAGCACUUCCAUGGUAAGGAAGAGGUCAUCAGUUCAAAUCUGAUUGUAGGCU
rnacentral:tRNA from 1 species